rnacentral:tRNA from 1 species
AGAAAUGAGGUCUUUAUGGAUGUUUCAUUUACAAUGAAGAGGUGUUUAUUGAACCGUUUUUAU